GACAGCAGUCGCCGCGGUAAUACGAAGGGUGCAAGCGUUAAUCGGAAUUACUGGGCGUAAAGCGUGCGUAGGCGGUGAGUUAAGUCUGCUGUGAAAUCCCCGGGCUCAACCUGGGAAUGGCAGUGGAUACUGGCUCGCUAGAGUGUGUCAGAGGAUGGUGGAAUUCCCGGUGUAGCGGUGAAAUGCGUAGAGAUCGGGAGGAACAUCAGUGGCGAAGGCGGCCAUCUGGGACAACACUGACGCUGAGGCACGAAAGCGUGGGGAGCAAACAGGAUUAGAUACCCCGGUAGUCCCUGUCUCUUAUAC
rnacentral:rRNA from 1 species